CCUACGGGUGGCAGCAGUCGAGAAUCAUUCACAAUGGGGGAAACCCUGAUGGUGCGACGCCGCGUGGGGGAAUGAAGGUCUUCGGAUUGUAAACCUCUUUUGUCGGGGAGCAAAAGACGCCACGCGUGGCGUUCCGAGAGUACCCGAAGAAAAAGCAUCGGCUAACGCCGUGACAGCAGCCGCGGUCAUACGGAGGAUGCGAGCGUUAUACGGAUUUAUUGGGUUUAAAGGGUGCGCAGGGGGAAGACCAAGUCUGCGGUAAAAGUGAGAGGCUAAACCUCUUCGAGCCGUUGAAACUGGUUUUCUUGAGUGAGCGAGAAGUAUGCGGAAUGCGGGGUGUAGCGGUGAAAUGCAUAGAUAUCACGCAGAACUCCGAUUGCGAAGGCAGCAUACCGGCGCUCAACUGACGCUCAUGCACGAAAGUGUGGGUAUCGAACAGGAUUAGAUACCCUGUAGUC
rnacentral:rRNA from 1 species